UUCGAUUCCCCAAUCCCCCCCGCUUCCUCCGCCGCCCCCAAAAUCCUCCUAAAUUGCCAGCCUUCGCACCAGCCGGCGGAACCCUAGCUCUGGGGCUAAUGCCAUAUCAGGACGGCGGAAUCGGCGGCUCCUUCCCUGGCGCCGCACUUCGGAGGCUUGCGCCGCUCGGCGCGUCGCCCGUCCGCGUCUUUCCUCCGGCCACACCUUCUGGAUUCGCGCCGCUCCGCCUCCGGCCCGAGGGCUUUGGAGGCUUGCUGUUGCUGCCGUCCUCUUUACCCCUGCGCGUGCACACGAGUCUGAUAUGCUUGGUCAAGUUUAGUGCAGCCGCCCCCUAUUGAUUCCAUUUUCUAUGAUAUGCUUGGUCGGCCGGCAGUCACCUCUACCUUCUGUCGCAGCGUAUCCAGGCAAUCAACAUUCUCUCCGCUUACUUGUCAGAUGGGCGUUGCUUGGAUGAUUUAAUCUGAUAAAGAUGACACACUAGGACGUAGACGUACACAGUAAAUUUCCGAAUUUCAAAUCAUAGAUGAUGGGUGUUGAAAUGCUAGAAUAUUUAUGCCCCUUUGCAACACACGGGCAUAUGUGCUAACUUAUUCCAAAAGAGAAAAGCAUUGAUACUAUGUUGAUAGCGAGGGUGCAAGGCUCAAGGGAAGUAGGCUCUCUAGCUCUCUAUAUGCUUAUGGUAUCUUGGAUGAGGGUUACAAAUUCAAUUCAACAUGUCAGUUGAGGAAGCUGCUGAGUUAGCAUGACGGGCUAUUUAUCAUGCAAUAUUCCUUGACGGAGCUAGUGGUGGCCGUGUUAGUGGCGGAACUUACUUGUGUGGAAGUGUGCUGCUGCUGCAAGUUCCUGACUGUGCACAGUACUUCAUGGAGAAUCUGGACCUAUUAGCUGAAGCAGAUUACAUACCAACAAAGGAGCACUAGAGGCAAGGGAAGGCAUGACAGAACAAGUGGUUGUUUCAUGGCCAGGGCAGAGACAUGCAACGGUGAGGGUUGCAAUCGUCAGGGGACAUCACCUUAUAAAAUGCCCACUCACAAUGGCUAGAUCCUGCUCUCUACCUCUCCAUUGUCAUUGACGCAUUUACAAUUGCAGAUUUAAGCCUCUUUGAUCCUCUGCUGUAAUCUGGCAAUAAUAUCAGCACAUAAAUUGAUUCGCUUCUUCCAGCGGGCAUAUCAUUCAACUCUCGGUGCAGGUUGUUCACCAGUGAUCUGGUUUGCUAAAAGGCAUAUUAUUUGAUCCAGACUUGGAAUUGCUUAUGUGUUGGCAAAACAUGAUAAGCAGGCAUUGAACCUCACCCAACCAUCAACGAAUUUAUUCCAUCAAUCAAAGAGAUGAUGGCAUCUAUGCCUAUUGUUGAAGACAUUAGUAUCAUCAAAACAAUAGUAUUAGAUAGCUUACGAACUGGAAUUUUCUUCCAGCUUACUAUAUGUAAUGCUCUCUUUUAGGUUAAGUAUCUGCAUAUAUGAAUCUAGUUCCUAAAGCCUUUGAUUCUGCCUCGAGGGCAAGAGCUGCAGUCUUAUCCUCGACCUUGAAUGAUCGAUUGGGGUAGUUGUUUAUUGUGAUCACACCGUUCAGUCCUGGCAUCAUUUCAUGUAUGCAUAGUGGGGUAAGACAUGGAAUUUAGCCAACACCAGUCGCGCGAGCAACACAUGGUAGUCGCUCCAGAAUGGGACGAUGUCGAAGACUAACUCCUCGACUUGCUACGUGAAGCGUAACUUUUUCGGUGCACUAUGCUUCUUUUUCGGGGACUAUACAUUUAAAGGUUGUCCUGCUUAGCUGGAUGUGAGAUUUGUCGAACUACAUCUUUUGUAAAGUAUCCUCGUAUAUGAGGUUGAGGCUGCUGCCGUCGUCCAUCAAGACCUUUGAUAAACGAUAUCCAUCAAUAAUAGGGUCUAGAACGAGAGCGCAACUCCUUGGUUGUGAGCUCCUAUCAGUUGAUCUUGAUGAUCAAAGGUGAUUGGAACGUCCAACCACCUGCUUUCCGAUAUUGGUGAGUAGGUUUCGUAGAUCAUAAAGACGUCCUUGACCUCAGAUGGGUACCCCUUUGGUGGUAGUAGAUUUUCUUUCCUCAGCUUUCGUGAAUGUUGGGGUUGUCAAGAUACUCCACUCCUCCAUUUGCCACUUGUCUGAUGACCCAGCAAUUCCUGAGCUUGUGGGUUGCCGAUUUAUUCGAAGAGGCGGAGUGGAUGGCACAUGAUUCGUUGAGCAUGGUGUCUAGCUGCGAUUUAACCUUUCUGCUGCUGGACCGACCUCUCUUUCGAGAAGGCUGCUCGUCGUCCUAGUUGGUGCUGUUGCGCUUGGAUCAUCGAUUGCGACGUAGGCCCUAUUUUCUUCUCCGAUCUCGGAUAAUUCCGUGUUGCCGUUCUCGCGCCAUUCAUUGACUGUCCAGGCGUCCACCAUGUUGUAUUUAGUGACUAUGUUGGAGAGUGCGGUGAAUAUCUUCAUCUGACGCCGAAGGAAUUCUCUCAUGAUCCCUUUGUCGAGGUUGUUGUCACAGAAGGCUACUAAUGCCUCGUGAUCCAUGCAGUCUGGGAUUUGGUUCUUCGUGAACAAAAAUUGUGUCCAAAAUUCUCAGGUCGUCUCAUUCGUCUUUUGGACGACAAGGGCUAGAUCCUAGAUGUCAGUUUUUCCCGAUUUAUCUGUGUGGUAUUCGACAUGGGAGGUGGGUGGGAUUGAAGAUUUCAUCCCUAUCUGGCAUCGGCGCCUCCGAUGAGUUUCUAUGCGGUUAACCUAAUGUUGUCCCUGGUAAUUUUAAUGGAACCUGGCUUGUCAGGCCGUCGUAUUGUAUUGUCGGAUCCGAUCUCCAGGCUUGGUCUGACAAGUUGUAGUCUCCGUCCCAAGCUAAGUAGAUCCUCCGUGCUUGGGUGGAGAUAGCCUGCCGCUCUUCGCCAAAUCUAAUGUCGUGGUGGAGGAGGCCACGGCAGGGUCUGAACCAUCGAGCUCUAUGUCUCGACUGAUGGUUGGAAUUUUGAUCUUCUCCGGUGGCUCGGUUAAGCCGAGAAGUGACUCAGAGGCUACGUCGGCACCGAUUUGAUCGUCAGCGCUUGAAGCCAUCGAGUUGCUUCGAUCUUCCAGAGGGACCUGUAUGGGCCACCAAUGUCGGAGCUAAAUCUAGCGGAUCUCGGGUUGGGGGUCCCGAUUUGGUAGUCUUGGCUAGAUGGUAACAAGGACACAAGGGACACGAGGUUUACCUAGGUUCAGUCCCUCUCGAAGAGGUAAAACCCUACGUCCUGCUUUGUAUUGAUUGUGGAUAGGGUACAGAGUAUAUGUGAUCUACCGCGAGAUCGUAUGUGAAUGAAUCUCCCCUCUACAACCCUGGCACCUCCGCUUAUUUACAUACCGGGGGUACCUAGGGCAAACGUGUCAAGGACUAUCUUACGCCUUGGAGAAUACGCCAAGUCUUCGUGUCAUUCCUUUGGGCAACCGACAUGCUGAGCACCCCCUAAUCUAGGACUCCGUCAAUAGGUGGCUCAAUAGUACCUCUUGUGGGUCCUGUGAUAGAAGCAUCGGCUUCCACUAGUGAUGUGCAGAUUGGCACGUUGACAGCGGCUUAGAUUGAUAGUGUGCCGAGGUGGACAAUAUAGCAAGAGGAGCUGCUAAAGGUGUAUUCACGAAAGUGUGUGCUGUCUCAGAACGGUACUGUGCUGAGGUGGACAACAGAGCAAGAGGAGGAUCUAAAGGUGUAUUCACGAAAGCGAGGUGAGGGUAUUGCACAUCAAGUGGAGCAACUAGAUCAGCCACCGCCGGAACAAGGUAGUACUGAUGUGAUUUCUAUCUCUGCGGGGAUCAGGCUGAAGGGCCAGUGGCCACAGUAUGAAUUAUCAUCACUGCUCUUGGUUCUUGUCAGUUGUCACAUGCUUGAAAGCACUAAUGAUUUCCCAACUAAAAGUAGUAAUAUUUUCUCCUUGAUGCUUAUAUGCGUGCCGUAAAUGAUCCUAAGGAUGAAAUAAUGAUAGUUCUUGUGUGAUUUCUGAUUUUUAAUGUUGUCAUGGUGAUGGUUCAACUAAAGAAAAGGAGAAGCUGGAAGGUAACAUUUGUAGGGUUUUGGAUUUGUUUAGUAUGUAGCGUUCAAUGCCAGGGGUCAGCUUUGAGCCCUUAUUGACCUGCAAUGUUGUAUGGUGCUGAGUGUUGGCCGACUAAAAGGCAACAUGUUUAACAGUUAGGUGUGGCGGAGAUGCGCAUAUUGAGAUGGAUGUGUGGCCACACAAGGAAGGACAGAGUACGAGAUGAUGAUAUACGAGAUAGAGUUGGGGUAACACCGAUUGAAGAGAAGCCUGUCCAACAUUGCCUGGUCUUACUUUUCAUGUGUUAUUAACCACUCAUUUUCUUCAGCAUGAACAUCAUCUUGGUUGGCCUAUUAACCAAGAAUGUGUUUGAUCCACACCAUAAGCGUAUUUCCAUCCAAAGAGGAAUUUAUUUGAACCGAGAAAGAGGGCACAGUUGAUUUUGCAGCAUUGAUCCAAUUCACAUCGAUGAUCCUCUUUUCCCUGCUAACAUUGUGGGCCGGAAUUGUUUCCGGGUCCACCACUGAACCAAUGUUGGCUCAAAUUAUCUUUUCUGGACUGGUUGAAUCCUUCUGUUCUUGUCUAGAGCUUUUGGAGUUGUGGCAAUGCUGUGAUUAUGCUCUUUUAUCUGAUAUAAAUAUUCGUCCGGCAAAUCACGGAUCAACAAGAUAAUCAUGAGGGGCAACCGAUGUCAACGCCGAAAUAGCGCGCUUGUCGGAAAAGAAGAGAAUUGCACAUAGUAGAAAUUUGAUCUUUGGCCUACUUGCUAUAUAGUAGCAACAAUUAAUGCCACCAUGAUUAAAAAAGUACAAUUUCUUCAAGAGGACCUAUUCCUUGUUAACGUACAACAGGUGACCAAACUUAUCAAACAGAAUACAUUACUAACGAA